CAUUGUAUGCAUGAGUUGGUCCCUUUCUUAGAUAUAUUAUGUGCAAUGUCAAGGCUACUUGUCUUGAGAGUAAACCACCUUUAAAGAUCAUGUGUUUUGAACCUCUUGACUCACUUGAAUAAAAGUCUUCCCUUUACUCAACCAAAUGAUUUGGACCAAUUGACCAUUUGCAAGAAUUCACUUGAUGUUUUAUGCUUAAUGAAUGUGAGAGUUGGUUGAUUUGAAUGUGUGGAUGCUUGAUGAUGAGUAUAAG
rnacentral:lncRNA from 1 species